ensembl:lncRNA novel transcript
GCAGCUGCAGCGGAGCACCUCAGCAAGAGAGGACUGAGUGCAACACAGUGGAUCCUUCCUCAGGGGUAUUUAUGGACCUUAAAGCCGGAGCUGAAGGGGUGGAGAAGGGCCUUUUCUUCUCUCUUCUAUGAAGACCACUCAUUGACGACAUCAUCGCAGGACAGAGUCUCCUGCUGUCACCCAAGCUGGAGUGCAAUGGUCUGAUAAGGCUGAUGAAGGACCAUUUAUGCUGAAACCCAAAGGAGGAGGAGUUAGAAGGGCAGCUGCUUCUAAACAAGUGAACAAGGGGACAGUGGUGUGAGAUGAUGCACAUGAUCUGUGGAAGGGAGAGAGCAGCAUGCUGGAGGGGAUGAUUUGGCAAGUCCGCUGAAGAACACAAGCCUCGACUGCUCCCCGGCGUGGAAGAAGGAAGGCGAUAAAUACUGUAACGGAGGACGAGGAAGGAGCACUGAGUUCUAUGUGGAAAGAAAGGGUCAAAAAGAGGAAAACGCCUAUUCACAUGCAUGGCGUUUAACAGAUUUAUUAGGUUGUUUGCUGUGUGAUGUAAAUCUCCUCCUCUCUCUCCUUGAAAUUUCUUGAGUGAAUUCUACAUUGUUCAUUCAUUCAUGUUUAUGUGCCAGCAAGCUUUGGGAGCACUGUAAAAAUAAAAAAGGUUAGACCACUGUUAGACAUCUGGGAAACAUCUAUGUUAGAGAAGGACUAUAUAUUAAUUUAUCUCAUUUAUGGGAGGCAAAUACUAUGAUUAUUGAAGGUACAUCUCUUUCUUUAUGGAUGGAGUACAUCUUAUUUUUCUAAAAUUUGUAUUUGAACCUAUUUAUUUCUAAUUGUCAAAAAUGUGAAGUGAGAAACUUAAAAACUUUUUAGUUUCUCUUGUCCCACCAUUUUAUGUACUUCCAGGUUGUCAAAUAAUUUGGAAUUUUAGACUUAGAUAAUUCUCUAAUGUAUAUUAUAGAUCUUCUAUUUCAAUAAUUAGCUUAUAUUUUAAUUAAAUUGUAUAACUGCAUUAAAAUAUACUUAACUAUG